rnacentral:tRNA from 4 species
GCCACGUUAGUUUAAUAAAACAUUAGCCUGUGGAGCUAAAAAUGGACCCACAAAGACCACGCAGCC